UACGUAGGGUGCGAGCGUUGUCCGGAAUUAUUGGGCGUAAAGAGCUUGUAGGCGGCUUGUCGCGUCUGCUGUGAAAAUCCGGGGCUCAACCCCGGACUUGCAGUGGGUACGGGCAGACUAGAGUGUGGUAGGGGAGACUGGAAUUCCUGGUGUAGCGGUGAAAUGCGCAGAUAUCAGGAGGAACACCGAUGGCGAAGGCAGGUCUCUGGGCCGCUACUGACGCUGAGAAGCGAAAGCAUGGGGAGCGAACAGG
rnacentral:rRNA from 1 species